CCUACGGGAGGCAGCAGUGGGGAAUAUUGCACAAUGGGCGGAAGCCUGAUGCAGCAACGCCGCGUGCGGGAUGACGGCCUUCGGGUUGUAAACCGCUUUCGCCUGUGACGAAGCGUGAGUGACGGUAAUGGGUAAAGAAGCACCGGCUAACUACGUGCCAGCAGCCGCGGUAA
rnacentral:rRNA from 1 species